GCUUUAUGCGCUUAAGCAAAGUAAUCAUUAUCAAAGGUAGCAGCCCUCUUAUUUUGCAUUUUCUCUGGUUCUAUCUAUCUUGUUCGUUUUGCCUUUGUGUGUUUUUUGUUGUUUCUUCAGUUUGAUGGGGAACAAAGCAGGUACAUUUGAAGAUAUUGUGGAUGCAUACUUGGCAUAUUUACAAGUUGCUGUAGUUAAUCCUGCAACGGAAAAAGCUUUGUUGCGGCUUCAAUGGUAUGCCUCUGAUGUACGAAAGGGAAGCAUUCCGGAUGAAAAAUUACGCUUUGGUGCUUCAUGGAGGUAUCCUCGCUUAGUGAGGAUCCUACUCUCUGCUCCGAGUGGGCUAUGAUUCAGCUGAUGGACUUUGUCCAAGCUCUACUCAAUACAGAAUGCGCGGUAAAUUAUUUGGGUGAUUAUAGAGCCUUGAGAUCUUUGAAGACCCUUCUGCUAUGCCAUUGGUCGAGGU